rnacentral:rRNA from 1 species
CAAUAAGCGGAGGAAAAGAAACCAACAGGGAUUGCCUCAGUAACGGCGAAGUGAAGCGGCAAGAGCUCAAAUUUGAAAGCUGGCCCCCUCGGGGUCCGCGUUGUAAUUUGCAGWAGGAUGCUUCGGGUGCAGCCCCCGUCUAAGUGCCCUGGAACGGGCCGUCAUAGAGGGUGAGAAUCCCGUCUGGGACGGGGUGUCUGCGUCCGUGUGAAGCUCCUUCGACGAGUCGAGUUGUUUGGGAAUGCAGCUCUAAAUGGGUGGUAAAUUUCAUCUAAAGCUAAAUACUGGCCGGAGACCGAUAGCGCACAAGUAGAGUGAUCGAAAGAUGAAAAGCACUUUGAAAAGAGAGUUAAACAGCACGUGAAAUUGUUGAAAGGGAAGCGUUUGCGACCAGACUCGCCCGCGGGGUUCAGCCGGCAUUCGUGCCGGUGUACUUCCCCGUGGGCGGGCCAGCGUCGGUUUGGGCGGCCGGUCAAAGGCCCUCGGAAUGUAUCACCCCCCGGGGUGUCUUAUAGCCGAGGGUGCAAUGCGGCCUGCCCGGACCGAGGAACGCGCUUCGGCUCGGACGCUGGCGUAAUGGUCGUAAAUGACCCGUCUUGAAACACGGACCAAGGAGUCUAACAUCUACGCGAGUGUUCGGGUGUCAAACCCGUACGCGCAGUGAAAGCGAACGGAGGUGGGAGCCCCCUCGUGGGGCGCACCAUCGACCGAUCCUGAUGUCUUCGGAUGGAUUUGAGUACGAGCGUAGCUGUGGGGACCCGAAAGAUGGUGAACUAUGCCUGAAUAGGGCGAAGCCAGAGGAAACUCUGGUGGAGGCUCGCAGCGGYUCUGACGUGCAAAUCGAUCGUCGAAUUUGGGUAUAGGGGGCGAAAGACUAAUCGAACCAUCUAGUAGCUGGUCUGC